rnacentral:rRNA from 1 species
CAGCAGCCGCGGGAAUACCGAGGGUGCGAGCGUUAAUCGGAUUUACUGGGCGUAAAGCGUGCGUAGGCGGCUUUUUAAGUCGGAUGUGAAAUCCCUGAGCUUAACUUAGGAAUUGCAUUCGAUACUGGGAAGCUAGAGUAUGGUAGAGGAUGGUAGAAUUCCGGGUGUAGCGGUGAAAUGCGUAGAGAUCUGGAGGAAUACCGAUGGCGAAGGCAGCCAUCUGGCCUAAUACUGACGCUGAGGUACGAAAGCAUGGGGAGCAAACAGGAUUAGAUACCCGUGUAGUCCCUGUCUCUUAUAC